UCACGGGGUGAGUUCCUCUCUUUACA
rnacentral:tRNA from 1 species